rnacentral:tRNA from 1 species
ACCGAGAUGGUGAAAAUUGGUAAACACACUAUUUUAAGAAGAUAGUACCUUUAUGGUUUAUGGGUUCAAGUCCCAUUCUCGGUA